rnacentral:lncRNA from 1 species
CAAAAUUGUGUGUAUUACUGAAAAUUUUGUCAAUAAUACAUAUCUUAAAUAUGAAAAAUACAUAUGUACAUGUUCAAUACGAGUAUUUUAUGUUUACUUUUGUAGAAAAAAAUAGUAUAGCCGGUCGGCUAUACCAUUAAAAAAAAAAUUAGGAGUACCAAGUAUAGCCGCACGGCGAUACUAUUUCUUUAAAAAAAAAAAGGAAAAAAAAGGAAAAAAACCUAGUAUAACCGGCUAUACUAUUUCUUUUAAAGGCUAUAAUAUUUCUUUAAAAAAAAUUAGAAAAAACACCGAGAAAAAGAAACUCACUCAAAUGUCUACAUAUUUAUACAUUAAUAAACCAAUAUCCC